rnacentral:rRNA from 1 species
GACGAACGCUGGCGGCGUGCUUAACACAUGCAAGUCGAACGGAAAGGCCCUGCUUUUGUGGGGUGCUCGAGUGGCGAACGGGUGAGUAACACGUGAGUAACCUGCCCUUGACUUUGGGAUAACUUCAGGAAACUGGGGCUAAUACCGGAUAGGAGCUCCUGCUGCAUGGUGGGGGUUGGAAAGUUUCGGCGGUUGGGGAUGGACUCGCGGCUUAUCAGCUUGUUGGUGGGGUAGUGGCUUACCAAGGCUUUGACGGGUAGCCGGCCUGAGAGGGUGACCGGCCACAUUGGGACUGAGAUACGGCCCAGGCUCCUACGGGAGGCAGCAGUGGGGAAUAUUACACAAUGAGCGGGAGCCUGAUGCAGCAACGCCGCGUGCGGGAUGACGGCCUUCGGGUUGUAACCCGCUUUCGCCUGUGACGAAGCGUGAGUGACGGUAAUGGGUAAAGAAGCACCGGCUAACUACGUG